GGAGUGCUAAUACCGCAUAAGACCACGAGCUCGAAAGAGCAUGCGGUCAAAGCUUGCCUCUAUUCAUAAGCUAGCACUUGAGGAUGAGCCCGCGGCGCAUCAGCUAGUUGGUGAGGUAAUGGCUCACCAAGGCGAAGACGCGUAGCUGGUCUGAGAGGAUGAUCAGCCACACUGGAACUGAGACACGGUCCAGACUCCUACGGGAGGCAGCAGUGGGGAAUCUUGCGCAAUGGGCGAAAGCCUGACGCAGCGACGCCGCGUGAGUGAUGAAGGCCUUCGGGUUGUAAAGCUCUGUGGGGAGAGACGAAUAGGUGCAGCCUAAUACGUUGCAUGAUGACGGUAUCUCCUUAGCAAGCACCGGCUAACUCUGUGCCAGCAGCCGCGGUAA
rnacentral:rRNA from 1 species